rnacentral:rRNA from 1 species
AGUGAACGCUGGCGGUAGGCCUAACACAUGCAAGUCGAACGGCAGCACAGUAAGAGCUUGCUCUUACGGGUGGCGAGUGGCGGACGGGUGAGGAAUACAUCGGAAUCUACUUUUUCGUGGGGGAUAACGUAGGGAAACUUACGCUAAUACCGCAUACGACCUACGGGUGAAAGCAGGGGAUCUUCGGACCUUGCGCGAUUGAAUGAGCCGAUGUCGGAUUAGCUAGUUGGCGGGGUAAAGGCCCACCAAGGCGACGAUCCGUAGCUGGUCUGAGAGGAUGAUCAGCCAAACUGGAACUGAGACACGGCCCAGACCCCUAGGGGAGGCAGCGGGGGGGAAUUUUGGACAAGGGGCGCAAGCCUGAUCCAGCCAUACCGGGGGGGUGAAGAAGGCCUUCGGGUUGUAAAGCCCUUUUGUUGGGAAAAAAAAGCAGCAGGUUAAUACCCCGCUGUUCUGACGGUACCCAAAGAAUAAGCACCGGCUAACUUCGU